UAAUUUAGUUUUCUUGUUCAAUUUCAUACCUUAAUUUAGUAGUUAUGUUAUAAGCUUUCGCGUCAAUGACAAGUGACAAGGAAGUUGGUCACUACAUAUUAUUUUACGCGUAAACCCAUCUCACCUGUUAAAUCACUGAACUUAAUAUAAGGUCUAGAGCUAAGUUGUAACACUACUCUUAUAUCGACAAAUCUCAAAUACUGUACUAUUGUUGAGUCAAUUUACAGUAAAUAAGUUAAUCUAAAAUUUACAGUAUAGAAGUUAAUCUAAAUGGUCUAAAUAUGAAAAGCGUCUUUCUUUAUGUAAAAUGUAGAGUAAAUUGAGAUAUUGCUGAAAAGAAUCUACUGCAUCGUGUAAGAUAGUUAAAAGGUAAAAUACCGCCUAGAAAGUAUACAAGAGCAAAUUUUUAGCGGCCUUAUGAAUAGAAAAGAUUUUCACAUUACUAAUAUAAUGACGAUCUAUCAGUCUCUUUUGAAAAGGAGAUAUCAUCUCUAUUUUUUGAUAAUAUCAAACAAAUAACCAGUGCUUUAGAUGGACUUAGGAGAACAUUCUCUAUAACCCUGUAUGCAGGUGGAUGGCUCAGAUUCAUCCCUCCAUUGGUGUGUGGGGCUGAAUCAUUCUGCCAGCAAGAAUUCUUUAUGCAGGGGGCUGCGGAAAAUUCGAACUUGGACUAUAGGUGGAUUGUCAGAAUAUCACAGAGGAUGCAGAGGAAAUAGUUGUUUACCAACUUGCAUACCAAAUUAUGGUGCCCAAUGCAGCAAUAGUGAUCUAGGAUCUAGGCUUUCCGUAACGGUCGGACUGCUCCAAUCAACCCCUGUCAACCGUGUUGCAUAUGAAGGAGGGUCUGAUGAGGUGCGUGUGUCGGCACGCUUCAUACUGUGGUACGAAAAUCCUUGUUAUUGAUAUAGUAGAAGAAAUAUCCUACCUCUCUUGUUUUAAUGAAGUGAUUAGAGAAUUUCUUGUUAGCCGCAUAGUACACCUUAAUUAAUACCAAAACUAAAAAAAUGAAAAGAGAAGAUCAUAUUGAUAGAGUAGAACUUGUUUGAAGUUACAUAUCACUUUACACUUAACCAGGCAAGUGCUUCAUAAGGCUUACAAUUGAGAUUGAUUCCAAAUUUUCUAAGGCCAUACUAAUCAUAGAAGUGGAAAGAGAAUAGUAUAACUCUCUCCAAUGCCUAGUAAAACAUAAUACUACAACACAUUAGGUUGAACAUAAGAGAGCAGAAAGAAAUGUCUUCUCUUCUCUCUCUCUCUCUCUCUCUCUCUCUCUCUCUGACACAUACACACACACAACACCCUAAAGAAA